CCCUUGUACACACCGCCCGUCACGCCAUGGAAGUUGGGGGGGACCUGAAGCCGGUGGGCUAACCCGCAAGGGAGGCAGCCGUCAAAAGGUCAAUCCCAAAUGACUGGGGCG
rnacentral:rRNA from 1 species